UUUUAUCAAUUAAGCAAACAAUAUAAACAAUAUAUAACAACUAUUUACAAACUAUUUUAUUUACAGCACUCAUCUAUACAAGAUCCUUAGGCUACUAAAAGGAAUAGAGUGAUGGGUAUAGGGAUUGAGUGCUGAGGGAUGAGUAAUGAGGGAUGAGUAAUGAGGGAUGAGUAAUGAGGGAUGAAGCGCUGAAGGAUAGAGCGCUGAAGGAUAGAGCGCUGAAUGAUAGAGUGCUGAGGGAUGAUACACUGGUCCUCAGUCCUGGGUUCUCUGUGCAGACCUGUUAAUGAAGAAAAGAGAUUUUUUUUAAAAUAUUGAAUUAAUCAAAAAGAACAAAAUUAAUUUAUACUUACUGGUGGAGAGCUUGAGCAAUGUAGGGAAAAGCAGUGAUGGAAAAGAACAAAUAGGAAAUGCAACAGAGGAAGGAAAGAUUAAUUUUAGGGGUCUAAUUAUAGCAAGAAAGUGUUCGAUCAGGUAGAGGGUAGACAGAAGGACAUUGCUCAGAGCUUCUCCAAUGUGUCCAUCAUCAGUGGGACAUGCUGCCAGAGGAGUUGCGAAACUGUACUGGCUAAUGCUGCUGGGUCGCUGUAGAGCUCCAGGGGCUGAGAAAACAAUACUUCACAAUGCACCGUCAGCUGAUCCUAUUGACAAAUUACACACACAAACACACACAGAAAUCCAACAGAGUCACCAAGUUACAGAUACAAUACUGAGAAAUUAUGCAUCAUGGUAUCUGAAAAUAUUGAACACUUACAAUAAGCAUUGUGAAGUACAGCUCUGCCGCAGGCUCCCACACGUCCGGGUUCCACAUGCUGAUAAACGCAUACAGGCUCUCCAAGAAUCCUCCCUCACACUUUAGGAAUAUCAUGGUUAAAA
ensembl:lncRNA